GAAUCUGUUGUGGCGCCAGCUGCAUUGCAGAGUAGCUACGUGUGGACGAGAUAAGCGCUGAAAGCAUCUAAGCGCGAAGCUUACCUCAAGAUGAGAUUUCCUUUGAGGGUCGUAGAAGACGACUACGUUGAUAGGCUACAGGUGUAAAGGCGGUAACGUCAUAGCCGAGUAGUACUAAUUGCCCGAAGACUUUCGCUA
rnacentral:ncRNA from 1 species